AUAGCUGGUGAAGAGUCCCACUGGACUGGGACUCUUCGACCAAGAGUCCUAAUGCUUGAAAACUUUGAGUCCUACAUGUCUGAGACUCUAUGAUCGAAAAUCAAGAUUUUCUGAUCAUGAGUUCCACACAUUUUGGGUACCGGGGUCAAGAGUCCCACUGGUUUGGGACUCUUCGAUCAAGGUUUCAUAUCGAUGGACUUUGAUGCCCGAUUGCCCAUCGAAUUUGGACUCAG
rnacentral:lncRNA from 1 species